UACGAAGGGGGCGAGCGUUGUUCGGAUUUACUGGGCGUAAAGGGCGCGUAGGCGGCGGAUCAAGUCAGGCGUGAAAGCCCCGGGCUCAACCUGGGAACUGCGCUUGGGACUGGUUUGCUUGAGUUCGGGAGAGGAGCGUGGAAUUCCCAGUGUAGAGGUGAAAUUGGUAGAUAUUGGGAAGAACACCGGUGGCGAAGGCGGCUAUCUGGACCGACAUUGACGCUGAGGCGCGAAAGCGUGGGGAGCAAACAGG
rnacentral:rRNA from 1 species